rnacentral:rRNA from 1 species
CCUACGGGUGGCUGCAGUGAGGAAUAUUGGUCAAUGGACGAGAGUCUGAACCAGCCAAGUAGCGUGAAGGAUGACUGCCCUAUGGGUUUUAAGCUUCUUUUAUGUGGGAAUAAAACAGGGUAUGCAUACCCUCUUGUAUGUACCAUAUGCAUAAGGAUCGGCUAACUCCGUGCCAGCAGCCGCGGUAAUACGGAGGGUACGAGGGUUAUACGGAUUUGGUGGGGUUAAAGGGAGCGUAGGUGGAUUGUGAAGUCAGUUGUGAAAGUUUGCGGCUCAACCGUAAAAUUGCAGUUGAAACUGGCAGUCUUGAGUACAGUAGAGGUGGGCGGAAUUCGGGGUGUAGCGGUGAAAUGCUUAGAGAUCACGAAGAACUCCGAUGGCGAAGGCAGCUCACUGGACUGCAACUGACACUGAGGCUCGAAAGUGUGGGUAUCAAACAGGAUUAGAUACCCGGGUAGUC